CCUGAAUGUAGAUCCGCGUGGGCUACUUUAUCUCUUCUAAUAACCCAGCGGCAAGAUAAGAUACGGAUCCCAGGAUGGUUUUAGUGCAUGUCGGAUAUCUGGUUCUUCCCGUAUUCGGCUCCGUAAGAAAUAGAGUAUCGAGGCUGGCUCUACAUUCUGCAUUUAUCAGAUCUUUGUCGUCCCCCCCAUUGUGUAGCUAAUGAUCAUCUGCUGCUGUGUGGUGUGGCGUGGCCUCUGCCUGUUCUCUGCAUUUAGCUGUAUUGUGAAUCCCUUCUUCAUUUCCUCUUUCCAUCAGAAGACGACAUUGGUAUUAAAAAAAAAAGCACCCCCUCCCAAGAAUGUAUUCAGUCAUAGAUUUUCCAUGUAAAGCAGACUAAAACAUAGCUAACACUUAUAGCAGAGCACCUUUUGUCUUUUUUUUUCUGUCAAAUUGCUGUAGCAUAGAGUAAACAUUUUUAGCUCCGUUUUAGAUGAUCAGUCGAAUGUCACUGUGUACCUCCCAUCCAGUCUUGAUAGACAACAUGCUGUAAAUUCCUGUAAAGUGGAUACAUUUUGCAUGAUCUCAGAUACUGCACUGCAUUGUUGAACACCAGAAUUUGGCUCAUCUUCCUUCUCUUCACACAAGGUGCAUUGUACACAAUUUGAAUGGCAUUUCAUCAAAACGCAUGCAAUUCGGAACCCUGUUCAUACCAGUUUUUUUUAUUUUUUUAAAUUAGCUCAAAUUGGGCCUGCUACCAAACACUGUCAUGUUAUCACUUGAAAUGAGUAAAGGUACACUGCACCUGCAAACAACAACCUGCCAUAACUGUCUCCAUUUUUUGUGUAAUCCUUUGUUCCCCUUGCAAAUUUCAAGCUUUGAAACACACUGAAAUCGUCAGGGCUGUUUGCCCACCUUGGGCAAAACAAAGCCAUAAAUUCAAGUAAGAAAAACAUGCUCACUGGUGGUUCAUCACUUCCUAAUUUUCCCCCCACACUAACCUAAGGCCAAAAUGCUAUCCAUUUCACAGGGAUGCCUAUCUCCUGCACUGCUAAAGAGAUCCUCUAUUAGUAAUAACGUCUUAUUGUUUGGUUGUGGUCUCUCUUUACCUUUUGUUCUGGUAAUAGUACUUUUCAAUGCAUGGUUCACAUUUAUGAUUCAUAUAUAUAUAUAUUUUUUUGUUUUUGUUUUUCUACAUUGACUAGUGAAAAUCCAAUGUAAUCUUUCUGUAGUAAAGAUGUACCCUGCUGUACUGGAAUCAUGUGCUGUAGCCAACACGUCUGCUCAUUGGAUGCUGCUUUUGUUCUUUUUUAACCCUAUAUGGAGCAUGGUGGGCCUUGCCUUCAGUCUAUGUUGUUUAUUUUUGUUGCAUGGAAUUAUUAUUAUUAUUAUUAUUACAAACCAAAGACGAAAAAAAAACACAAAUUCCACAUAAACUAAUAUUUUUUCAAUAAAGAAUAUAGUG